UCCAGCUGUUUGUGGAGCUUCCACUCAAACAGGUCUAUUAGCUGUCAUCCAAUUAGUGUCACUGCAUGGCUGACUCAAUGACUUUGCUGACUCACGGCAUUUUAGAGCCAGCAGGAACUUCCCAAGUCACUGGCUCUGUGACUCCACAGCAGGAGGUACACUUGACAAGUGAUUAUAUUCACCUUGGAUGUGGAGGAAAAAGGCAAAGAUCAAGAUUGUGAAUACCUCCCGCCCUUUCCAAAUGGGUCUGAGGGAUUUAAGGAGAGCUUCCUGGAGGAAGAGAUGUGUACUCAAAUGAUGAAGGAUGAGGAAGAGAGCCAGAGAGGGGCCAACAGAGGAUCCCUGGGGGAACACAGGUCUCAGCUCAGCUUUCUGAAGAGGCCCCAGAGGGUCAUCCUCCAUGGAAGCACAGUGAGAAGGCACCAUCUGUGGAUUGGAGGGGCCC